rnacentral:tRNA from 1 species
GCGCGCUUAGCUCAGCUGGCCAGAGCACCCGGCUCUUAACCGGAUGGUCCAGGGUUCGAAUCCCUGAGCGCGUACCA